UACGUAGGGAGCAAGCGUUGUCCGGAAUCAUUGGGCGUAAAGAGCGUGUAGGCGGCCCGGUAAGUCUGUUGUGAAAGUCCAGGGCUCAACCCUGGAAUGCCGAUGGAUACUGCCGGGCUAGAGUUCGGAAGAGGCGAGUGGAAUUCCUGGUGUAGCGGUGGAAUGCGCAGAUAUCAGGAGGAACACCGGUGGCGAAGGCGGUUCUCUGGGCCUUACCUGACGCUGAGGAGCGAAAGCGUGGGGAGCGAACAGG
rnacentral:rRNA from 1 species